rnacentral:lncRNA from 1 species
GGAAACCAAGGCGCAGCGAGGUCAAGAGACCAGCACACUCCAGCAUUGUCAGAGACAAAUCAAACUGAGGAGCUGGCUGAAGCCCGCACCCUCUGAGGCUGUCCAGCUGCAGUGCAUUUACACUCUGCCCACAAGAGAUAGACAACAAAAGAAUAGAUCAAGCCUGAUUUAUAGCAUUUGCUGAUUUCUGAGUUGUAAGUGUUCCCACUGUGGCUGAUUUCAAGCAGUUAACUUCAAUGUGAUGUUGGGAAGAGACACAAUUGCACACUAUUAUACAGUAUUUCAACUCUACAGAUACUGUAGACAUAAAUCAUCUGAAGAGCACAGCAGUAGAAGUGGCUGGCAGUGGAAUUUGGGUCUGGGCCUCGUGCUGAGUGGCUGUCGGCUUUGGAAUCUGACCCUCCCUGGUGGAAAAAGCUGGGCCAGCAUUUGGGGCAGUCCUCAGCGUGCAGGCCCUAUAUGCUGUCUACUUUGGGCCACACGCACUUGGCUUUGCUCCUCAGGUAACCCCUGGGAAACCUAUCAGGUGCAACUGCUCUGAUGCAGUUGGGGCAGUGUUGUGAUGGGCUGCUGUGAUGUCACUGCAUGAAUGAAGGUUCUGUGUUUGCACCUAGGCUGGCAGCUCUCCAGGGGCACAGUCCUCAGCCCCACCCUAGCCAGCACUCAGUAGAAGGACCAGCCCUCAGAGACUGGCUGAAUGAAUUGAUGAGUACAAGCCUGGCUGACAUUCAAGAUUUCUUCCUGGUGAAACAGAAGCACAGUGUGGAGUCCUGUGUGGAAGCUCUCAUCUUGACGUCUUGUACAAAGAGUGUCCUUCAUUAUUGCUAACACUAGAGGGGAGGGGAACCUCACUAAUCCCCCCCUGCCCGACACGUACAAACACACAAAGGUUUCUACUAGCCGGAUGUUCUGUAACCAGGAAGUUCAGAUGCCUUUUUUUUUCUCCCAGUCUAUGAGAAAAGUCACCUCUGUCCCCACCCACAUGCGCACUGCUACACGCUGUGCCUACCAAGGCUGGCAGAAGUGUGCUGGCUGGGAGUGAUUUGCUCUUGGCAUCAGCCUGAGAAUAUCCUGUGCGGCUGAGAAGGUGGUGCUGCCCUCUCUGCAACACAGGGAUUGGGAAUUGAUCGGGGCGAGGGGGCACACACUAAGGACUCAAUGCACUCUGAAAGGGGAGGGCUCCAACAUCAACAGAAUUACAAGUGCUCCACUCCCUGCCAUGCCCCCUGCAUCCCAGCAUUCACACACAUCCUCCCGCAGAUGCUGUCUGACACUAUUCACAGGGGUUUGGAAAAAAGGGAAGGCCUGCCAUAAAGUCUGCAAAGAGGUGUGACUAUGGAGUUUCAGUAGGAAAAAAAUCUCUGGGGGACCACAAUUCCUAUUGUCCUUAUGGCUAUGGAUCAUGGUUAUGGUUAUGGACAAUUAAGGAGGCGAUGUAAAAAUCACUGUCCAGGAACCCUCCCUGCAUGUCCCCGAGGAUGACACCUCCACACCCUUGUCAACAUGUCCUGGGCUUAAUGACCCUGUGAGUGCACCUAGCUUUGAAAGUUCUGGUGUUUGCACGUGUGUGUGUGUGUGCGCGCGCACACGUGUGUGUGUGUGUGAAGGAGAGAGAAACAGUGAGAGAGAGAAAAUUAAUACUCUUGUUUCCAGACUAGACUUUGCUUCUGUGCUCGAAACACACACACUCCCAUCCAAGUGCCUCCUGGACAGCCCCACUUACACAUCCUAUAGGCAACUCAAAUUGAAUCUACCCAACACAACUUGUCAUCCUUUCCUUCCCCCUCAAACUCACAGUUUGUCCUGCCUGAUGAUCCCUUUCUCAAUAAGUGGCACUGCCACUCACCUACCUGGCCAAGCAGGAAAUCUGGGCACACCCUCGUCUCACACUCCCAUAGGCCUAGUCAUCAAGUCAGGCCUGUUCUAGCCUUCACGUUUUCACUUCAACAACCUCGCUCUCCAUGCACGGUCACUACUUCAGGUCAGGCCCCCAUCUAUGUGGAAGUGCAGCAAGGCCUCCUGAUGAGCUUUCCUGCCUCUAGUUCCCCCACUAUCCCCACCCCCCCCUCCAAUCCAUUCUCAACCCUCUCAACAAACCAGUCCCGAAGGAAGUGCCCAAGGCAGCAGGAAGCAGACCUGCCUGACAAGUCUUUCUCUCCAGGUUGUAGGUGCCUGAUGUUCCCCCUUAUUCCAGUAGUUUCUGGGGACAGCACUGCCAUAUUAGCUAGCUCACCACUCUAGGUUAUCUGAUUCACCCUACUGGCAUUGGCAGAAAGGAAGGAAUGUGAACUGAGAAGAAAGUUUUGAGGCUGGGCGCGGUGGCUCAUGCCUGUAAUCCCAGCACUUUGGGAGGCCAA